UCGAGCGAACAGACGAGGAGCUUGCUCCUCUGACGUUAGCGGCGGACGGGUGAGUAACACGUGGAUAACCUACCUAUAAGACUGGGAUAACUUCGGGAAACCGGAGCUAAUACCGGAUAAUAUAUUGAACCGCAUGGUUCAAUAGUGAAAGACGGUUUUGCUGUCACUUAUAGAUGGAUCCGCGCCGCAUUAGCUAGUUGGUAAGGUAACGGCUUACCAAGGCAACGAUGCGUAGCCGACCUGAGGGGGUGAUCGGCCACACUGGAACUGAGACACGGUCCAGACUCCUACGGGAGGCAGCAGUAGGGAAUCUUCCGCAAUGGGCGAAAGCCUGACGGAGCAACGCCGCGUGAGUGAUGAAGGUCUUCGGAUCGUAAAACUCUGUUAUUAGGGAAGAACAAAUGUGUAAGUAACUAUGCACGUCUUGACGGUACCUAAUCAGAAAGCCACGGCUAACUACGUGCCAGCAGCCGCGGUAAUACGUAGGUGGCAAGCGUUAUCCGGAAUUAUUGGGCGUAAAGCGCGCGUAGGCGGUUUUUUAAGUCUGAUGUGAAAGCCCACGGCUCAACCGUGGAGGGUCAUUGGAAACUGGAAAACUUGAGUGCAGAAGAGGAAAGUGGAAUUCCAUGUGUAGCGGUGAAAUGCGCAGAGAUAUGGAGGAACACCAGUGGCGAAGGCGACUUUCUGGUCUGUAACUGACGCUGAUGUGCGAAAGCGUGGGGAUCAAACAGGAUUA
rnacentral:rRNA from 1 species